rnacentral:rRNA from 1 species
AGCGAACGUUAGCGGCGGGCCUAACACAUGCAAGUCGAGCGAGAAAGGGGCUUCGGUCCUGAGUAAAGCGGCGGACGGGUGAGUAACACGUAGGUAAUCUUCCCUUGAGCGGGGGACAACGGUCCGAAAGGACCGCUAAUACCGCGUACGUUUCCGAGGACCUCGGUCCUUGGAAGGAAAGCUAGGUCGCAAGAUCCAGCACUCGAGGAGGAGCCUGCGUCGCAUCAGCUAGUUGGUGGGGUAAUGGCCUACCAAGGCGAAGACGCGUAGCUGGUCUGAGAGGAUGAUCAGCCACACUGGGACUGAGACACGGCCCAGACUCCUACGGGUGGCUG